GACCUUCGGGCCUCUCGCGUCAGGAUAUGCCUAGGUGGGAUUAGCUAGUUGGUGAGGUAAGGGCUCACCAAGGCGACGAUCCCUAGCUGGUCUGAGAGGAUGAUCAGCCACACUGGAACUGAGACACGGUCCAGACUCCUACGGGAGGCAGCAGUGGGGAAUAUUGCACAAUGGGCGCAAGCCUGAUGCAGCCAUGCCGCGUGUGUGAAGAAGGCCUUCGGGUUGUAAAGCACUUUCAGUCGUGAGGAAGGUAGUGUAGUUAAUAGCUGCAUUAUUUGACGUUAGCGACAGAAGAAGCACCGGCUAACUCCGUGCCAGCAGCCGCGGUAAUACGGAGGGUGCGAGCGUUAAUCGGAAUUACUGGGCGUAAAGCGCAUGCAGGUGGUUUGUUAAGUCAGAUGUGAAAGCCCGGGGCUCAACCUCGGAAUUGCAUUUGAAACUGGCAGACUAGAGUACUGUAGAGGGGGGUAGAAUUUCAGGUGUAGCGGUGAAAUGCGUAGAGAUCUGAAGGAAUACCGGUGGCGAAGGCGGCCCCCUGGACAGAUACUGACACUCAGAUGCGAAAGCGUGGGGAGCAAACAGGAUUAGAUACCCUGGUAGUCCACGCCGUAAACGAUGUCUACUUGGAGGUUGUGGCCUUGAGCCGUGGCUUUCGGAGCUAACGCGUUAAGUAGACCGCCUGGGGAGUACGGUCGCAAGAUUAAAACUCAAAUGAAUUGACGGGGGCCCGCACAAGCGGUGGAGCAUGUGGUUUAAUUCGAUGCAACGCGAAGAACCUUACCUACUCUUGACAUCCAGAGAACUUUCCAGAGAUGGAUUGGUGCCUUCGGGAACUCUGAGACAGGUGCUGCAUGGCUGUCGUCAGCUCGUGUUGUGAAAUGUUGGGUAA
rnacentral:rRNA from 1 species